rnacentral:lncRNA from 1 species
CCCCACUUGAUCUUCGCCUGAUGCCUCCCCGCAAGGAAUCCACACGGCGAUCCACGACCUCUAUGGCCAGAUCUCAGGCUCCGGCCUCACCUCCAGUCUCCCAGCCUCUACCUCCUCCUCUGGCAACGGUGGUUGGCACGGAGCAAUUCGACCUACUGGCACAGCAAGUCAAAGGCCUCACUGAAGCUGUGCAGGCCAUGCAACAGCAGCAGCAGCCACAGGCAU